UCACAUACCCACUUAGCCUCCUAUGGCGAAUAACAACAACAGGUGGCCUUCCUCAUCACAGGCCUACACUAGAUCCAACCAUGACGACCAACAAUAAUCUGAAUCUGAAGGCUCAGUUCUGCCUACUAGGAACCUUGACGAGGGAAGAAGGUCAGACAGAGUUCCUUGGUGUGAUCACUGCAAGCGCGAAUGGCAUACACGUGAAACUUGUUGGAAGCUCAAAGACAAACCUCC
rnacentral:lncRNA from 1 species